UCUUAAAAUAAUUAUAAGCGGUUGAUCAUAUUCAACACUGAAAGUAGAACGGUAGAACCAGAUCGAUCUUCAUGUAGAAAUAUUGAAGGUUGAGAAAGUAGGGUUAGAGUGAUAUAGUUUUGGCACAUGACGGGCAGGGCAAGGAAAAGGUGGAUGGAGCAAUGCCAGAGCACUCAGACAUAUACAAGAACUCCUACGUGUCCUCCACUUACAUCCCAAUCCAAUAUUCCACCUUUCGCUUUCACUUUGCCUUUGCUAGUCAUGGCUACUUUAUUUCUUCUUAAUUUUCUUAUAUUGGGGUUUAAUCCUUCCAGAAUAACUUAUUAAUUAGUACCACUUGCUUAUCAUACUCUUAAUGUGUCCACUUUUAUGAGAAGUUUUUCAGUACCCAAAAAUACGAUUUGAUACACUAAGUAUCAAAUAAGGGGUUGAAAUGUUUUUUUAAGUGCCAAACCAAUUGUAUUAUGACACAUAUAUAAUAAUGUGAUGUUUAAUGCCGUGCUUCGAACACGUUGAAAAACUCUCCAGUGCUGGUUCAUAUACAGUUGCAAAAAGAAAAUAAAAAUGUUAGAAAGACCAUCUUUUUAGAUUACAAGCAAAGAGUCCUUACGAUACUGUGGGUUUUAAAACUGUUAAACAGAUACUGUGGGUUUUAAAACUGUUAAACAUAAUAAAAACAGUUGGUGCAAAGUUGUAAUGAAUAGUUUGUAACGAACAGUUUCAUGACAUGUUCAUGUUUCGGUAAAUAAUAUUCACAUUAAUAAAGAACUUGGAAAAUGGUAUGGAGCUCCAACCGUUUACAUCUUCCCAUCUUGUUCUAAAAGUAAACACCACAUAUGGGUUGUUCCACUAGAUGAUAUCCAUUUAAUGGAAGGACAUAUAACAUACCCAAAAAAUAACAGUAGUGUUCCAAUGCUGCCAAAUCUGAGAUUGAUGAACUGAGUUCAAUAAAAUUUGUUUCACAAUGAUCUGAAGACAGCCCGCUCCCAAACCGCGCUACAAAUUCGCCAGAAAUCCAGCGACAACUCCGGAAUCCCAAACGGCAAAAGAAACAAAUACUAUGAAGUUUUGGCCCGCCAAUUGCAAGUUUAAGAACCCUAGAAACGAGUUUUAUGACUUUCCACAAAACUCCCAGAACCCUAGUUCUACAGCAAGCUUUACAGAGGAGCACAACUUCCCUCAAAACGGAGAGCGCAAACGAAAUCCCUU